UACGGAGGGGGCUAGCGUUGUUCGGAAUUACUGGGCGUAAAGCGUACGUAGGCGGCUUUGUAAGUUAGAGGUGAAAGCCCAGAGCUCAACUCUGGAAUUGCCUUUAAGACUGCAUCGCUUGAAUCGUGGAGAGGUUAGUGGAAUUCCGAGUGUAGAGGUGAAAUUCGUAGAUAUUCGGAAGAACACCAGUGGCGAAGGCGACUAACUGGACACGUAUUGACGCUGAGGUACGAAAGCGUGGGGAGCAAACAGGG
rnacentral:rRNA from 1 species